UACGUAGGGUGCGAGCGUUAAUCGGAAUUACUGGGCGUAAAGCGUGCGCAGGCGGUCUGUUAAGACCGAUGUGAAAUCCCCGGGCUUAACCUGGGAACUGCACUGGUGACUGGCAGGCUUUGAGUGUGGCAGAGGGAGGUAGAAUUCCACGUGUAGCAGUGAAAUGCGUAGAGAUGUGGAGGAAUACCGAUGGCGAAGGCAGCCUCCUGGGCCAACACUGACGCUCAUGCACGAAAGCGUGGGGAGCAAACAGG
rnacentral:rRNA from 1 species